rnacentral:rRNA from 1 species
GAUGAACGCUAGCGGCAGGCCUAAUACAUGCAAGCCGAACGGCAAGUUUGAUAGCAAUAUUGGACCUAGAGUGGCGCAAGGGUGCGUAACACGUAUGCAACCUGCCCGCGACAGGAGGAAAGCUCCCCGAAAGGGGAAUUAACCCUCCAUAACACCAUGAGAAGGCAUCUGAUUAUGGUUAAACCGCAAGGGGUCGCGGAUGGGCAUGCGGUUGAUUAGCUAGUUGGCGGGGUAAAGGCCCACCAAGGCGGUGAUCAAUAGGGGUUCUGAGAGGAAGGUCCCCCACACUGGCACUGGGAUACGGGCCAGACUCCGACGGGAGGCAGCAGUAGGGAAUAGUGGACAAGGGGUGCAAGACUGAUCCAGCCAUGCCGAGUACAGGAAGAAGGGCUUCUGGGUCGUUAACUGCUUUUGCCUGGGGAUAAAAUACCCGUGCGCGGGGAAUUGAAGGUAACAGGGGAAUAAGCCACGGCUAACUACGUG